UCGGCUCUUCGCGGAGAGGCCUGGCUGUAUUCUACAGUGCAUGUGUCUCCAGUGUUACUAAGCAACUGGAGAUGCAGCCCUGUUGGAAUAACAGCCAGAGCCAAUAUCUUCAGCAGAUG
rnacentral:pre_miRNA from 15 species